GUCUAUGGCCAUACCACCAUGAACGCGCCCGAUCCCGUCUGAUCUUGGAAGCUAAGCAGGGUCGGGUCUGGUUGGUACUUGGAAGGGAGAGGAGAAAUCUCUUUCAACAUUUUUA
rfam:Otolemur garnettii contig062275, whole genome shotgun sequence.